rnacentral:rRNA from 1 species
UACGAAGGGGGCUAGCGUUGCUCGGAAUCACUGGGCGUAAAGGGUGCGUAGGCGGGUCUUUAAGUCAGGGGUGAAAUCCUGGAGCUCAACUCCAGAACUGCCUUUGGUACUGAAGAUCUUGAGUUCGGGAGAGGUGAGUGGAACUGCGAGUGUAGAGGUGAAAUUCGUAGAUAUUCGGAAGAACACCAGUGGCGAAGGCGACUCACUGGACACGUAUUGACGCUGGGGCACGAAAGCGUGGGUAGCAAACAGG